rnacentral:rRNA from 1 species
UACAGAGGUCCCAAGCGUUGUUCGGAUUCACUGGGCGUAAAGGGUGCGUAGGUGGGUUGGUAAGUCAGUGGUGAAAUCUCCGGGCUUAACCUGGAAACUGCCAUUGAUACUAUCAAUCUUGAAUACCUUGGAGGUGAGCGGAAUAUGUCAUGUAGCGGUGAAAUGCUUAGAUAUGACAUAGAACACCAAUUGCGAAGGCAGCUCACUACACGGUCAUUGACACUGAGGCACGAAAGCGUGGGGAUCAAACAGG